GAUCAAUGGCAUAUGGACUCUUCUCAAACCAAGACAUUCUACGUAUGAUUUCACUUCUUCUUCCUUUUCUCACUUCUAAGAUAAUCGACAUCUCCCUACUAGGGUAUCAUUUUAUUUUUUCAACGAUCCCUUUUUCUUCUCUUUUAUUUUUUUUCUUUUUUUCUGUUUUUCUUUUUUUGUUCUUUUUUUUUUGUUUUUAAUUCGGGUAUUCAUGAGAUCCAAAGUAUGCACGGGUUUACGCGAUCCCUCAUAUGACUUCUACCUAUAGCCUUUUCUACAUUUUCUUUUAAAGGCUGAAGGGAAGAGAGAAGGAAGGAAUCAUACUUUGAAGAAGUGCA
rnacentral:lncRNA from 1 species